rnacentral:misc_RNA from 1 species
AAGUCGUAACAAGGUUUCCGUAGGUGAACCUGCGGAAGGAUCAUUAACACGUAUCCAACGUUAAACCCCCCGUGAACCUUUAUUGUAGUCGUGCCCUCUGUUGGAAAUACGCAAUUGAAAGUGUCACUAGCUCUGUAAGGAUGGCGCAGUAACGAUCGCUAGAGGCCGACACGGCCGGCGACUGGACCGCUGGGUUUUAACCCCUCUGAUCACCUUUGCAUGAAAACGGGCCUGCGCUUAAUUGUGCGGCCACCAAACUUCGAACAACUGUUAACAAUGGAUAUCUUGGUUCUC